GAUGAACGCCGGCGGCGUGCCUAAUACAUGCAAGUCGAGCGAACGGACGAGAAGCUUGCUUCUCUGAUGUUAGCGGCGGACGGGUGAGUAACACGUGGAUAACCUACCUAUAAGACUGGGAUAACUUCGGGAAACCGGAGCUAAUACCGGAUGAUAUUUUGAACCGCAUGGUUCAAAAGUGAAAGACGGUCUUGCUGUCACUUAUAGAUGGAUCCGCGCUGCAUUAGCUAGUUGGUAAGGUAACGGCUUACCAAGGCAACGAUGCAUAGCCGACCUGAGAGGGUGAUCGGCCACACUGGAACUGAGACACGGUCCAGACUCCUACGGGAGGCAGCAGUAGGGAAUCUUCCGCAAUGGGCGAAGGCCUGACGGAGCAACGCCGCGUGAGUGAUGAAGGUCUUCGGAUCGUAAAACUCUGUUAUUAGGGAAGAACAUAUGUGUAAGUAACUGUGCACAUCUUGACGGUACCUAAUCAGAAAGCCACGGCUAACUACGUG
rnacentral:rRNA from 1 species